GGUAUUCCAAAGACGUUCUGACCUUAAAUUUUCUUUUUCUGAAAUUUGGGCGGCAUACAGGGAAGGAUUUGGGAACAGUAGUGAAACACAUUGGCUAGGUAAUAAUGUAACAACUACUUUUAAAAUCAGGUGGACGAAUGUUUUGGUCACAUCUCGUCAGUUUUCAAUUAAUAUUAAGCUAUUAAAAUGCCGAUUUCAAAAGUCAUUUGAAUGAAAUAAAAAUUACAAGUUUGUCAACUAACCUGAUUUUUAAAUGAAAUAUCAAGCACUCGAAACAGAAUAAUUUACGCCAAAAAUUUCCAUUACAAACUUGAGAGGUUAAAUCUUAUUAUUCUUAUUCCCCCCCCCCCCCCAAGAUUUUUUGGAUAUUUGUUUAUAAUUCUAUAUCUACCCCUCCUUUGUUCAAUAUAUAUUUUUUAACAUUUCACACAUAAUUUCAAAAAUUUGAUAUAUCUUUUUUUCACAGGCACCGAUUAUAUACAUGGAAUAUCGACAUCGGGACGGCAUAGGGCACAUUUUAUUCUUGAGAAAGAUUGAAUAAAAAAAUAGGCAGAUUACUUUAAUUUCCGAGUAGGAG
rnacentral:lncRNA from 1 species